CCUACGUGAGGCAGCAGUGAGGAAUAUUGGUCAAUGGCCGAGAGGCUGAACCAGCCAAGUCGCGUGAGGGAAGACGGCCCUACGGGUUGUAAACCUCUUUUGUCGGGGAGCAAAGCGAGUCACGUGUGACUCAUUGAGAGUAUCCGAAGAAAAAGCAUCGGCUAACUCCGUGCCAGCAGCCGCGGUAAUACGGAGGAUGCGAGCGUUAUCCGGAUUUAUUGGGUUUAAAGGGUGCGCAGGCGGAGGUGCAAGUCAGCGGUCAAAUUGCGGGGCUCAACCCCGUACUGCCGUUGAAACUGCAUGCCUAGAGAGCACGUGAGGUAUGCGGAAUGCGUGGUGUAGCGGUGAAAUGCAUAGAUAUCACACAGAACUCCGAUUGCGAAGGCAGCAUACCGGCGCACAACUGACGCUGAUGCACGAAAGCGUGGGUAGCGAACAGGAUUAGAUACCCUUGUAGUC
rnacentral:rRNA from 1 species